rnacentral:rRNA from 1 species
UACAGAGGGUGCGAGCGUUGUUCGGAAUUAUUGGGCGUAAAGCGCGUGUAGGCGGCUAAGUAAGUCGGGCGUGAAAUCCCACGGCUCAACCGUGGAAGUGCACUCGAAACUGCAUAGCUAGAGUCCUGGAGAGGAAGGUGGAAUGCUUGGUGUAGAGGUGAAAUUCGUAGAUAUCAAGCGGAACACCGGUGGCGAAGGCGGCCUUCUGGACAGUGACUGACGCUGAGACGGCGAAAGCGUGGGGAGCAAACAGG